CUGAGACUAACCAUCGCAGGAGAGAACCAGGAAGAAGCAAAAGGACAUGGGCCCCAAGAGCCCUUGUGUGGUUCUGGGGUGCCCAGUUCUCUGUGCCUCUCUGCUUGAGCCAGACAAGGAAAUGUGAUGUUUUCAUUUGUAGGAAAACCCAUCCAAGGGCCAAGAGUGGCAGUCAGGGCCUUUCAGAGCUCUUCUGCCCUCUGUAGCCAGAGGAAAGGAAAUUCAGACUUCCAGGAAAACCAAGGCUUAAAGAAAACCAGAAACCAGACAACGUGAUUCAACCAUCUAGGGGUGGAGUUGGUGAGCUGAGGCUGUUGGAUUUCUACUUGACUCUGUUCUUUCUGUUCUUCCCUAACUAACCAACUCAGGGAAGGAAGGGAGCAGGGGAAGCCAAGAGAAGAUUGGUGGCUCCUAAGGAAGUUCAAGCUGGUUUCCGGCAGGGCCAUGGCUAUGAUGGUAUAUCUUCUUUGUCCACUGGAUUUGGAAUCACCUGGGAGACACACCUCUGGGCAUGUCAGUGAGGAAGCUGAUGGAGAGAUUUAACGGAGUAGGGAAGACCACCGUGAAUGUGGGUGGCACCAUCUCACUGUCUAGCACCAUCUCAUGGCCUGAGAUCCAGGACUUAAUAAAGAGUGAGAAAGAGGAAAGCCAGAAUUCCCUGCUCUCGAUUCCUGGUCUGACAAAGCAUACAAGGUCCCAGCCCUGUACCCCGGCCACUACAAGCUGCUUGUGCCUUCCCUCAGAUCUCAGAUUGUGAGCCAAAGUCCACCUUUUCCCCUAAGGAGCUUGCUAGGGAUCUUGUCACCAUGAGAAAUGUAGAUGAACACACACUGUUAUCCGAGAAGCAGACCACUUGAAAGGACCGAGGGAAUGAGCUCUCUGGGAGACCCCACACCUCAGGAAGUUCCGGGUCUUUCUCACCUCAACGGGGAGGAUUCCAGGGGUGUCAUCAGAAACUGCUUUGCCUUCUGCACUGUCUCAAAACAAAUUACCUCAGGUGAGAUAUUUUAUAGACCAUGGGUUACUUCCCUCAGCUCAGAAGACUGGGAGAUCCAAGAUCAAGAGACUAGCAGCUGUGGGCUCUCAAGAGCCUUGUCUGCUCUGAAGAAGGGCAAAGGACUACAAGAUUGAUUCCUCGACCCUAGUGCAAGGCACUAACCCCACUAAUUGGACACACCCAGACCACAGGUUAUAGCGCUGUGCUGGGGACUGAGUUGGAACAGUUUUCUCAUACUCAAGUGGAAGCACUCACUACCUAAGUUUGGUGUGGUGACAGGUAUCACUGUUGGGCUGAAAGCUGAAACGGGCUUUUCCUUUCUUUCUCACUUGUACGUAAUUAGUCCUAAA
rnacentral:lncRNA from 1 species